ACAAAAAUGCACAUGCUGUGAGCUCGAUGAGUAGGGCGGGACACGUGGUAUCCUGUCUGAAUAUGGGGGGACCAUCCUCCAAGGCUAAAUACUCCUGACUGACCGAUAGUGAACCAGUACCGUGAGGGAAAGGCGAAAAGAACCCCGGCGAGGGGAGUGAAAAAGAACCUGAAACCGUGUACGUACAAGCAGUGGGAGCCUCUUUAUGGGGUGACUGCGUACCUUUUGUAUAAUGGGUCAGCGACUUAUAUUCUGUAGCAAGGUUAACCGAAUAGGGGAGCCGAAGGGAAACCGAGUCUUAACUGGGCGUUAAGUUGCAGGGUAUAGACCCGAAACCCGGUGAUCUAGCCAUGGGCAGGUUGAAGGUUGGGUAACACUAACUGGAGGACCGAACCGACUAAUGUUGAAAAAUUAGCGGAUGACUUGUGGCUGGGGGUGAAAGGCCAAUCAAACCGGGAGAUAGCUGGUUCUCCCCGAAAGCU
rnacentral:rRNA from 1 species